rnacentral:rRNA from 1 species
GACGAACGCUGGCGGCGUGCUUAACACAUGCAAGUCGAACGGAGUGGCGAACGGGUGAGUAACACGUGGGUGAUCUGCCUCGCACUUCGGGAUAAGCUUGGGAAACUGGGUCUAAUACCGGAUAGUGCAAGAUGGGCUCCCGGCCUAUCGGCUUGUUGGUGGGGUAAUGGCCGACCAAGGAGUCGCAGGGUAGCCGGCCUGAGAGGGGGUACGGCCACAUUGGGACUGAGAUACGGACCAGACGCGUACGGGGGGCAGCAGGGGCGAAUAUUGCACAAUGAGCGGAAGCCUGAUGCGACGACGCGGCGGGGGGGAUGAAGGCUUGCGGGUGGUAAACACCUUUCGACAGGGACGCGGUACCUGUAUAAGAAGCACCGGCUAACUACGUGCCAGCAGCCGCGGUAAUAC